CGCGAUUCGCCCUUCGGGGUGCACCAGGCGCGAAAACUUUACAAUGCGGGAAACCGUGAUAAGGGGACACCGAGUGCCAGCAUCAUAUGCUGGCUGUCCAGGUGUGUAAAAUACACCUGUCAGCAAGGGCCGGGCAAGACCGGUGCCAGCCGCCGCGGUAACACCGGCGGCCCGAGUGGUGAUCGUGAUUAUUGGGUCUAAAGGGUCCGUAGCCGGUUUGGUCAGUCCUCCGGGAAAUCUGACGGCUCAACCGUUAGGCUUUCGGGGGAUACUGCCAGGCUUGGAACCGGGAGAGGUAAGAGGUACUACAGGGGUAGGAGUGAAAUCUUGUAAUCCCUGUGGGACCACCUGUGGCGAAGGCGUCUUACCAGAACGAGUUCGACGGUGAGGGACGAAAGCUGGGGGCACGAACCGGAUUAGAUACCCGGGUAGUCCCAGCCGUAAACGAUGCUCGCUAGGUGUCAGGCAUGGCGCGACCGUGUCUGGUGCCGCAGGGAAGCCGUGAAGCGAGCCACCUGGGAAGUACGGCCGCAAGGCUGAAACUUAAAGGAAUUGGCGGGGGAGCAC
rnacentral:rRNA from 1 species